rnacentral:tRNA from 2 species
GGAGAGGUGACCGAGUGGUUGAUGGUGCCGCUCUCGAAAAGCGGUGGGCAGCUAAUGUCUCGUGGGUUCGAAUCCCACCCUCUCCGCCA